ACGGUUACAUCACAUUGAAACACCUGUUCCCGUACGAUCCCCAAAGUUAAGUAACUUCGAACCUGGUCAGUACAUAGAUGAGUGACCGCUUAGGAAUAC